GUGAGAACACAUAUACGUAUCAACUGAAGUCUGUUUGAAAUUAAUGAAACUCAAGUAAAGGUUACUAUAGUUUGCCCCAGUCGUAAUUUGCUAUUCCAACACCUCACGACGAGCAAUCCCCAUUGGCAUAACGGCAAAAACAUGUCUUCCUUCAAGUAAACAAUAAACAGUCUGUUCUUGGUCCAUUUGUAAUCGAAAAAAGUUAUCAAUUUUCAAAUUUUACGCUUAUCGAGAGCCUUUGUUUAUGCCUUUGUGAUGAAUCACUGUUCCCUUGGGCCUGCACGCGGGCUAGGUUAAUUAAUUACCGAUCGCCUCAGCUAGCCAAUGGGAAUUUAGCCGGCGGUUCGGCCGGCGAAAACAUGGGGUGAUGGUUGCAGGCUGUCUCUCACCCUCAGACAGCCUGUACGCAGGCUAUACAUAAACAAAAGGAAUAUUGUUCUUGCUUCGUUUUUUUAGAAAAUCCAAUCAAUAGCUUAUUCUUUUCUCUUUGUCAUAAUCAGCCAAUCACAGAACAUCCUCCUAGAGCUUCGUGCAUGCCGACCCAAUUUUGGAAGUAUUGCACGGUUAAUUUUGGGAAGUCAUUUUAACUCCAAAAGUGGAGUAAGAGAAAAGAGAUACAGAACAUAGUCGCCGUUUAUCAACGGCGAAUGUAAAAUGUCUUGCGAAAUGCCAUCCGAAAUAAGACAGAAUGGCAUGCGAACUGGAAUUUUUUUAACUCUAUCUCUAAUACUGCAUGUACCAAUCAUAAGCUUAAUCAUGAACCCCAAUCGUAACUAAGUUUUGACGAUCAUCAAUUGAUGCGAUUUUUAUUUGUGAAAUAUACAAUAAAAACUGUCAAUACAGUUUGUCACUUGUGCUGUUGC